UUAUCUACCUAAAUAAAGGAAAAGCUGAAUGACUGAGUGAUCUAUCAACACACAGCUCAAACUACUGAACGGAUCGGGCUGAAAUUUUGCAUGC